GGGAGAGAGAGACCGGCUGCCGCGGUGGUCGCGUUGGCAACGACGCGACCACAGUUCCGUUGCGCGACUCUCCGAGUCGGGCAACGCUCGCGAGGAAAGUCCCCCCACCCGUUCGGGCGGGUGACCGGGCGCAAGUCCGGAGCGGGAGACCGCUGGCUCUGGAACAGAAACGACACGUCUCGGCCCGACCGAUGACGCGCGCGAACCCGACCGCAAGGAAGGGAAGGUAACCCGCAGAGGGAAGCGCGGACCGGCGCACGACGUGCGGUCGACGAUCGUGGUUCAAGACCACGGAUCGCGAACGGGACUCUCGUGUCACGCACGGGAAUCCGAAUCGUCGCGAUCGACCGCGCCGACGGCCGAGGAUCGAUGGAACGGCGAACCCUCACCGGUGCAAGUCCGUCCCGUGGUAGCCCGAACGUCCCGCGGCUUCGCCGCGGACGGGGCGGACGCUCAGCCGAAUGCCGGUACGAACAGAAGGGGGCUUACUCCUCUCACCU
rnacentral:RNase_P_RNA from 1 species